AACUUUGCAUAUCAAAUAGCGGAGCAAAAGAAACCAACAGGGAUUGCCCCAGUAACGGCGAGUGAAGCGGCAACAGCUCAAAUUUGAAAUCUGGCCCCCCGGCCCGAGUUGUAAUUUGGAGAGGAUGCUUUUGGCGCGGCGCCGUCCGAGUUCCUUGGAACAGGACGCCACAGAGGGUGAGAGCCCCGUACGGACGGACGCCUAGCCUCUACAAAGCUCCUUCGACGAGUCGAGUAGUUUGGGAAUGCUGCUCAAAAUGGGAGGUAAAUUUCUUCUAAAGCUAAAUACCGGCCAGAGACCGAUAGCGCACAAGUAGAGUGAUCGAAAGAUGAAAAGCACUUUGAAAAGAGGGUUAAAAAGUACGUGAAAUUGUUGAAAGGGAAGCGCCUGUGACCAGACUUGCGCCCCGUGGACCACCCGGCGUUCUCGCCGGUGCACUCCGCGGGGCGCAGGCCAGCAUCGGUUUUCCUAGGGGGACAAAGGCCGCGGGAACGUAGCUCCUUCGGGAGUGUUAUAGCCCGCGGCGGCAUGCCCCUGGGGGGACCGAGGACCGCGCUCGGCAAGGAUGCGACGUAGACAGC
rnacentral:rRNA from 1 species